rnacentral:rRNA from 1 species
UGGGGAAUAUUGCACAAUGGGCGAAAGCCUGAUGCAGCAACGCCGCGUGAGUGAUGAAGGCCUUCGGGUUGUAAAGCUCUGUCUUCUGGGACGAUAAUGACGGUACCAGAGGAGGAAGCCACGGCUAACUACGUGCCAGCAGCCGCGGUAAUACGUAGGUGGCAAGCGUUGUCCGGAUUUACUGGGCGUAAAGGAUGCGUAGGCGGAUACUUAAGUCAGAUGUGAAAAUCCCGGGCUUAACUUGGGAACUGCAUUUGAAACUGGGUAUCUAGAGUGCGGGAGAGGAAGGUGGAAUUCCUAGUGUAGCGGUGAAAUGCGUAGAGAUUAGGAAGAACACCAGUGGCGAAGGCGACUUUCUGGACCGUAACUGACGCUGAGGCAUGAAAGCGUGGGGAGCAAACA